rnacentral:rRNA from 1 species
UACGCACGCUGGCGGCGUGCUUAACACAUGCAAGUCGAACGGAAAGGCCCUGCUUUUGUGGGGUGCUCGAGUGGCGAACGGGUGAGUAACACGUGAGUAACCUGCCCUUGACUUUGGGAUAACUUCAGGAAACUGGGGCUAAUACCGGAUAGGAGCUCCUGCUGCAUGGUGGGGGUUGGAAAGUUUCGGCGGUUGGGGAUGGACUCGCGGCUUAUCAGCUUGUUGGUGGGGUAGUGGCUUACCAAGGCUUUGAAGGGUAGCCGGCCUGAGAGGGUGACCGGCCACAUUGGGACUGAGAUACGGCACAGACUCCUACGGGAGGCAGCAGUGGGGAAUAUUGCACAAUGGGCGGAAGCCUGAUGCAGCAACGCCGCGUGCGGGAUGACGGCCUUCGGUUUGUAAACCGCUUUCGCCUGUGACGAAGCGUGAGUGACGGUAAUGGGUAAAGAAGCACCGGCUGACUACGUG